CAGUAGCCGCGGUAAUACGAAGGGGGCUAGCGUUGUUCGGAUUUACUGGGCGUAAAGGGCGCGUAGGCGGGCUGAUAAGUCAGGGGUGAAAUCCCAAGGCUCAACCUUGGAACUGCCUUUGAUACUGUUUGUCUUGAGUUCGAGAGAGGUAAGUGGAACUGCGAGUGUAGAGGUGAAAUUCGUAGAUAUUGGGAAGAACACCGGUGGCGAAGGCGGCGACCUGGUCUUUUACUGACGCUGAGGCGCGAAAGCGUGGGGAGCAAACAGGAUUAGAUACCCCAGUAGUCCCUGUCUCUUAUAC
rnacentral:rRNA from 1 species